ACAUAGUUAGCCAAGUUAGGUGUUGCCUACGCAACGUAACAGGGAAGUUUGGUGAAAUGCCAACGCGGUCCCGCCACUGUAAGACGGAGCAUACAUAAAUUGCCACUGCUAAAUUUGCGGGAAGGCUAUGUAGUGCGCUGAUGUCGAGCCAGGAGACCUACCUAGUUUGGAUGUGAUCCG
rnacentral:ncRNA from 17 species